rnacentral:rRNA from 1 species
UGUGUAGGUGGUUAGAUAAGUUAGAUGUGAAAUCCCCGGGCUUAACCUGGGCACUGCGUUUAAGACUGUUUAACUAGAGUACUGUAGAGGAUAGUGGAAUUUCCAGUGUAGCGGUGAAAUGCGUAGAUAUUGGAAGGAACACCAGUGGCGAAGGCGACUAUCUGGACAGAUACUGACACUGAGACACGAAAGCGUGGGGAGCAAACAGGAUUAGAUACCCUGGUAGUCCAUGCUGUAAACUAUGAGAACUUGCUGUUGGAUGCAUAAAGGCAUUUAGUAGCGAAGCUAACGCGUUAAGUUCUCCGCCUGGGGAGUACGGCCGCAAGGCUAAA